AGGACGAACGCUGGCGGCGUGCUUAACACAUGCAAGUCGAGCGGAAAGGCUCCUUCGGGGGUACUCGAGCGGCGAACGGGUGAGUAACACGUGAGUAAUCUGCCCCCCACUUUGGGAUAGCCACCGGAAACGGUGAUUAAUACCGGAUAUGACUCUUGUCCGCAUGGAUGGGAGUGGAAAGUUUUUCGGUGGGGGAUGUGCUCGCGGCCUAUCAGCUUGAUGGUGGGGUAAUGGCCUACCAUGGCUUCGACGGGUAGCCGGCCUGAGAGGGUGACCGGCCACACUGGGACUGAGACACGGCCCAGACUCCUACGGGAGGCAGCAGUGGGGAAUAUUGGACAAUGGGCGAAGCCUGAUCCAGCAACGCCGCGUGAGGGAUGACGGCCUUCGGGUUGUAAACCUCUUUCAGCACAGACGAAGCGAAAGUGACGGUAUGUGCAGAAGAAGCACCGCAACUACGUGCCAGCAGCCGC
rnacentral:rRNA from 1 species